GAUGAACGCUGGCGGCGUGCCUAAUACAUGCAAGUCGAGCGAACAGAUAAGGAGCUUGCUCCUUUGAAGUUAGCGGCGGACGGGUGAGUAACACGUGGGUAACCUACCUAUAAGACUGGGAUAACUUCGGGAAACCGGAGCUAAUACCGGAUAACAUUUAGAACCGCAUGGUUCUAAAGUGAAAGAUGGUUUUGCUAUCACUUAUAGAUGGACCCGCGCCGUAUUAGCUAGUUGGUAAGGUAACGGCUUACCAAGGCGACGAUACGUAGCCGACCUGAGAGGGUGAUCGGCCACACUGGAACUGAGACACGGUCCAGACUCCUACGGGAGGCAGCAGUAGGGAAUCUUCCGCAAUGGGCGAAAGCCUGACGGAGCAACGCCGCGUGAGUGAUGAAGGGUUUCGGCUCGUAAAACUCCGCUAUUAGGGAAGAACAAAUGUGUAAGUAACUGUGCACAUCUUGACGGUACCUAAUCAGAAAGCCACGGCUAACUACGUG
rnacentral:rRNA from 1 species